GGGGUGGAACGCUCACUCCACGGGACCCCAGAGCUUUGGGGAAAUCCAGAUGUCACAAUGUGUCCACAGUCCUUGGCUGAUGGCUCCCCCAGCCUCCCUCAGCUGUGUUCCCAGCCCCGUGAAAAUUAAAGACGCCUGGAGCAGGAGGGGUAUUUUGCUUCUCCCUAGGACCCACAAGUCCGUCCAGUUCUGGAAGUCAGAAGUCCAAAAUCAGCCUCACUGGUGUUGAUGCCACAGUUUGGUCAUGUGCUGCCCUACCUCCUAAGGCGGUGCCCAGGGUUCACAUUAUCCUUUCCAUGGCAGAAAUGCUAAGAGAAAGAUCUGGAUCUGAGUUCCAGCUCUGCCUCUUCUGAGCCAUGUGACCUUUUUGAGCUCCCAUGUCCUCAUCAGCAAAAUGGAGGGGCUCAAACUUCUGGAACCAGGAAAGCAGUCGGAUAAAACCGAAUCACACCGAUUCCAGCCUCAGCCCUCCUCAAAGAGAUUCUCAUUCAUUAGAUCUGGGAUGGGUUCCCAA